ACCGCCACUGUACAUCUUUCUUUCAGAAGAUGAGAACACGUCCACUAAAAGCAAGAGUGAAACUACAAGCUAAAAGCAGGCGUGCUUUUCUUAUAAGAUAAUACGAUACCAUUUUGGCACACUUGUUUGAUGAGCUAAGCGCCUUAGUCAGAUCAGCUUACGACUUAAAUAAAGGUCGAAAUCAAUCCCUCUUUUUCAAACUUACUAAUGAACGACCCUUUGUACAUCUUUCUCCAGUUCA
rnacentral:lncRNA from 1 species